rnacentral:miRNA from 1 species
GGCCGGUGGUCGCGAGAGGGA